UUGACUUUCAGUUUCAAACAGACCCUAUUUUCACAUAGAUGCCUACCUUAAUUGUAAAAUAUCAACUAAAGCGCCAAUACAUAAUUUAAGAAAAGACCACAAAGCUGCGGUCAUAGCCUUUGUCAAUGGUAGCAGAGGCUUUCAAAUAAACCUAUGUAAUUCCAAGAAUUACUGUACAAGGCUAGUGUUUAACUUUCAUCAACUUCUACAUUAACCUCUGGAACUACCUCUAGUAUUCAUGGUAGCAUUGAAAAACUAGAGGACUGGCCAAACUGAAAUGGAUAGGGAGGCUUCUUAACAGGUAUUUCAUUCUCAAGCACGAAUACAACCUGGUUCAUUGAAGGUCUUAUUUCAGGAUUAUAAUGAGAGCACCAUAAUGCAACCGUAGCUAAUAACUUUGCUCUCCCUCUUUCUUUCUCUGUGAUCUCACAGUCCUUUAUAAGUUGGUCUAGCUGUCCAUUAUUAAACUUCUGCCAAACUUGUUCUGGAAACCAGUUUUCGCAUUCUCCAUUGCUUCUCCUCCCUAAAAUUUCAAACAACAUCAUGCCAAAGCUGUAAACAUCACAUUUGUAAGUUACGCGUGAUCCCGGCAACCACGUCUCUGGGGCAUUAUAACCUUGAGUGCCUCUGGUUCUGGUCAAGGGAACUUGCGACAUACCCCGUUUCAUAAGCUUUGAUAAUCCAAAAUCUGUAAUUCUAGGCGAAAAAUUCUUGUCAAGGAGCACAUUACCAGCCUUUAUGUCAUAGUGAAUUAUUCGUUCAUCCCCACCAUCGUGCAAAUAAAGAAGCCCCCUUGCAGUCUGCACUGCAAUGCUAUAGAAUGUCUCCCAGUCUAUACCGCCAUGGUGGUUCUCGUACAAAAUCUUAUCGAAAGAACCAUUUUCCAUAUAUUCAUAAACAAGUGCUUUCAUGUUCUGCUCAAAGCAAUACCCAUAGAGUUUCACUAAGUUCCGAUGGUAAGCCUUUCCCAUUGUGCUGAUUUCGGCCAUGAAGAUCUCUUCAACAACAUCUUUAGUCACCAGUACUUUAACAGCUACUUGCAAACCACCAGGAAAUUGGCCUUGGUAGACAUCUCCAUACGUGCCAGAGCCUAUUUUACUAGAUUCCGAGAAAUUUGAUGUAAACUUUUCAAGAUCCGAAUGAGAGUAUCGCUUUGGACCCAAUUCACUUAAGAACUUUUCAACCAAGUCUGAGCUAGUGGCUUCUUCCAGUGUACUAGGAUUCAUCAUAUUUAUGAGGUUGCUACAAGUCUCCCAGUUCACGAGCGUGUACAAGUCGCAAAAAUCCCUGUCAGGCAUUACAGAUCCCAUGUACAGUCCUGCCGCCAUCGGUUCACCCACCCUCCAUAAACACGCAAAAUUUCCACUUUGGACAUGGCGAAAUCUGACAUUAGUGGAUUGGUCUUCCUCUAAUUUAAACAGUGUACAGAAGAUUUUGGAUUUGUCUUCUUCUGGAUGCUUAGCCCCAGCAACGAUCCAACCAUUGCGAUUCCUGACCAUGUAUCUGUUGUUGAAACAACUUUUUAUGUGCAUCAGUCCCUUAUCUUUAUUCUCAGUGCUGUUUGCCAUUUCCAAUGCAAACUUUGCAGUUGGGCUCAUAUCCUCAUCCCCAUCAAAUUUCAUAUACCCUUCCGGUACACUCUUAUUAUUAAGAUCUGUUAAGCUCAGAUACUUAUUGUUGUAAACUGAUUUUACUACCACAAACCUUGCCAUUAAUUUCUCUAUAGAAAUAAAAUUGACAACUUUAACUCUAGGUAAACCACAGGACAGAAGAGAUGGAAAUCUUGAGUUUACCUUAAUUUCUAAAUGAAAUCGUGGUAGAGGUGACUGGAGAAUGAAGAUCAGAUCACAAACCAGACCGCAAAGAAGAAGAAGAAGAAGAUAGAUGAUGGAAAAUAGAAUAGAAUAGAAUUAGAUGAUAUCGGUUGAAGUUUUUCACUUUAAUCAGUUAUUAAUGGUGGAGAUCGAAGGUACUUUCAACUUGUUUGUUUCUUUAAAAAUAUAAAAAAAUAAUAUCAGCUGUGGCACACACUGAAUUGAAGCCCCACAUCUUUAAAUAAUUGAAACUUGAAAGACAAUCAAUCAACAGACAUCAAUAGUCAAAAGUUUAAAGGAAGACAGCUCAGACUGAAAUUUUGUCUUCUCGAACGGAAAAUAAUAAAUAAUUUGAAGGAACCUUCCGUCUAACUUCCAUCCUUGAGUAUUUGACAUAGGUCCAUGUUUUAAAUGUGUUUUCUGAGAUGGAAAAAAUACAUUAAAUGAGUUGUUCAAGUUCAACAACUUUAAUUUAAUAAAUAUAUUUUUAAACAAAUUUGUGAAACCAAUGUUUUUUUUUCUUCCAAAAUAUUUUUAUAUAAUUUUUAUUUUUUAUAAUUUUUUUUCUUUAAAACAUAUAGUUUUUUUUUAAAAAUUUAUAUUCUCUUUCGUCUUAAACUCCACUUUUUUUAAUUUUCUAGUUUUAAGGAAUCAAGAUGAAUAAAAUACUAUUAACUUGAUAAAAAAAAUAACACAAAACUAAAUAAUUGAGGAAUUAAAGAUAGUUUAAUGAGUUGUUUAUCUAUUAAACAUAUUUUAUUUUUAUUUUUAUUUUUAUAAAUUAAAAAUUCAAGAAGUUAAAUUUUGAGUGUCGGAAUGAUUACAAAACAACUGGUAGCUCAGUUGGUCUGGUACUACUCUCACACGAGUGAGAGGUUGUGAGGUCAAUUCCCAUCAAGAGUGCUUGGAAAAAUUUCAUGUCAAAGCCCUCGGUCAUGGUUCGUGAUUAGAAGGCCUAUACUCCCAUGAUAUCAUGAUGUGGUUGUUUGUUGUCAUUCAGCAAAAGCAAGUCCCUGUGUAGCUAUGCCCAGCUGGCAACUUUGAAUGAUGUCAUGAUGUGGUCGUUUGUUGUCAUUCAGCGAAAGCAAGUCCCCAAUUCAAUUUCAAACCCUAUCUUUUGUGUUUUCAUCUUUUAGUGUUAAACUAAUUACUAGUUAUUAUUUAUUUGAAAGAGGAUUUUUCUUUUACACACACAACAAGAUUGUUCCACACCGAUUCUUUCUUGAGAUUCACCAAUUCACUAUACAUUAGUGUUUUAUUGGGGUUUUAGUUGUGAGAAAAUGGUUAAUUAAAAUUAGGGGGAUUUAGAGAUACCCCCCAAAAUAAUAGGAACUCUUUGAGAUACCCCCCCAGAUUUAGAAACUCUUAGAGAUACCCCCCAUUUUUCCAUUUGAAGCCGGUCAACCAAGCCGUUGACCAUGGUCUGACCAGUCUUCAUAAUUUUUAGACAAUUUUACCCUCCCACCAUUUAAACCCACAUCCUAGUCAUUUUGUCCAGUCAUCAAUAAUGCCAUGUCAGCAAACCCACUUACAACUACCACUUCUUAUCCUAACCGUUCAAAAUAGAUCUAGAUCUAGAUCUAAUCCUAUGGGUAGAAUUAAGGUGAACAAUUUUUAAAAGAUUUAAUCUCCUCCUUCUUCUUCCUCCUAUUUUCUUCUUCACCAUCAUCAAACUCCAUCUCUCACUUUUUCUUCUUCACCAUCAUUUCUUUUCUUUCUUCCUUCUUCUCCAUCCUAUCUACCUAUCUAUAGAUAAAAGAACUUAACAAAUACAAGAACUUGAUAACAUGAAUCAAACAUUCAAACAUACUUCUUAACCAAACCAUAUAUGAAAAAGAAAUUAUAGGAAAUUAGGAACUACAGACCUACAAAAAAGAAGAGAACAUUUCUCCAAAAUUAUUCUGUUCUGCAUUUUUUUUUUCUUCCAAUUCUCUUUGCUUCACUGCUCUCAAUUAAGGUCAACUAUACAUCUUGAAACACCUGCAAUCCAUAGUAACCAAAGAGCCAAUGCUUAGUAUGAAUCAGAUACUGAGGACUUAUGCACCCAGCCACCCGGCCACAAGAUGUCAAGAACACAGCCGGCUCAAUAGCAUAGGCCACGUAUGCAUGCAUGGCCUAGGACCCUACUGGAAUAAACUAGACCCUAGGUAGUGCUGUUUGUUUUUCAUUCAGCAGGUCUGAAGACUGAACGACUGAAGCAAGUAAAAAGACUACAUUAACCUCUUUAAACAAAAGUCCUCUUCCCUUUCACUCUUUCACACUGCUUAUCUUCCCCACAACCUCUAACUCGCUUUUCUGCUAGAAGAAGAAGAAGAAGAAGAUUGAGGAACAAAAAGAUUAGAAAAUUUAAGUUUGGUGCUUAACUGAAUGGGUUAUUCAUUUUCUCGAAUUAUUUAUUAGUUCUUACGAAGUCGCAACUAGCAUAUAUAGAGAGCUAGCUAGUAUGGAGAUCAUAUAAAUACAUUAAAAAUGGAAAACAGAAAACAGUUUUCUAAUUUUCAAAAUCAAGUGAACACGUUUUCCAAUUUUCUAAAAUUUUCAUUAGAAAAGGAAAACUAGAGACAAAAAAAGAAAAAUGGAAAUGGAAACUGAGAAUAGUUUUCCCUUUUCUUUUCUUUUUUGAUAUUUUGAAUUUGAUUCUUUAACCAACUCGAUUGAUAUAGAAAACUCGAAUUGAUGGAUAAUGGAUCUUAAGUUAUUAUCUUUGAAUCAUCUUAAUUGAUGUUUCUACGACAUGAUUUAGGACAAUUUGUGUAGGUAGAAUUACUGAAUUACAUAGAGAUUCGUGUAAUUUGGCAAUUAUACUGUAAAAUAAGUAGAAACAUAUGUAAAUGUUGCUUUGGCGAGUUUUAGGUGUUUCGAUUGUUGAGAAAAAAAAAAACAGUAACGAUUUGUAGGCUUGAUGGGUAGUGAUUUGUGCUUAAAACUUUGUUCUUACCUGUUCAGUUACCAAUUUUUGUCAAAAGAAAAGGCUUUGUUGGGUUUUAAAAAAAUCUACGCAGGAUUUGGGUGGUAUGUUUUCGAAUAUAUAGGACUAGUUGAUGUUUAUAUGUUAAUCAUAUUAACAAUAUCCAAAUUUAGAUUACUCUAUAGAUGGUAAAAAUUGAAAGAAGGGAUGAUACAGUUUAACAGUUUAUUUCGCCUGUCACAUUGUUGUUUUCAUAAUACUAAAAUAUAAAGACGUUAGCAAGAUCACGAGGAAAGGAGAAUCUGAAAUGGUUUUGCUUAAAGGUGGGAAACACUUGAACAAUAUGGAUUUAAAAUGACCUUGAUGCAGGGUCUAUCUGGGCAGUAAUCAAGUCUCAUUUAAACCUUGAACAGUUGUAUAUACUGUACAAUAGAGUUGAUGUUUGUCCCAUCUUUCUCCUUAUCAUUAAUAUUUACUGCAUAUGGUGUUGUAAUUUAAGUUUAAAAAGGGGUAAAAUAGCCAUUUAAUAGUAACUCAGCUCUUAAGUUCAGAAGAGAAGGAUGGAAAUUCCAAGAAAUGUUUUCGACACAUAGAGCGCUUCAUAGAGGAAUAAAUCUGAUCGAACCACACAACCUCCAUGAUCUUGAGUUCACUAUCAGCUGGGUGAUGAAAGGAGGAAGAAGAGGAAGACAUUAGUUUUCUGAAGCUUCUCGAACACAACACUGGCUUACCCAACCACCUAAUGAUGAUACUGAAAACACUUUUGGCGCUACAAUUUCUAGGAGCUGACUUUGUUCAUGUUCUUGGGCUUUGCCAGGAUAGUUCCUUUUAUUUUCAUAGAGUUGAUAGGCUUUGUAGUAAGUCCAUAUCAGUUUUGUCCUUGGUACUCUUUCCCUGUAGUGAGGUAAGGCCCAGUCCCCUCACAAGUGUUUUUUUUGGACAUUUUAUUUAUUGGUAGGGGUCUUGCCAAACCUCACCCCUGAUUUGGGGUCUUUUUUUUUUAAAAGAAAAAAAAUAAAUAAAAAAUAAUAAUAAUUCAGCACUUAAUGCAACAAACAUCAGCACUUAAUUCAGCACUUAACUAAAUGAUGUAUUCAACAUUGUAUUAAGUUCAGUUAAGUGUAUUAAGUGCGAAAUCAUUAUUCAGCUCCAUUAAGAGCAUUCCCAAUGGUAAAAGGGUUUUAGGGGUGCCACAUAGGAGAGAGAGGGAAGGUUUUAGCAUAAAAUUAAUGUUAAAAGUGAUUAGUGGUUUUAGAGUUUCCAAUGGUUGGUUUUAAAUUAAGUGUUAAAACUUAAGAUUUUAUUUUUUCAAAAAUAAACAUGGUGUAUAUUAUGAGUAAAUUUAAUUUUUAAAUAGCUAAAAGAUCCUAGGUGGCACUUUUAAGUCCUUGGCAAAUUUGCCAAGGAGUUAAAAGUAUUUUGCUUGAAAAGUGUGUUAAAAGCUACCAUUGGCAAGAGUUUUCACUAAAAGUGUCUAAGGGCAUCUCUAAUGGUUGGGCAAAUUUGAUGGUCCACGUAUACACAUUUGAUGAUAGUUUGAUGAAAAUUUUGCUUUGAAAAUGUGCUCCAUCUAAUGGUUCAUCAACUAAAGCGGCUAAUGGAUGACCGCUUCACUAAAGCGGGCCCCCAACACCCACUUCACUUAGUUAAAGCGGCUAAUGGAUGACCGCUUCACUAAAGCGGGCCCCCAACACCCGCUUCACUUAGUUAAUGGGGCUGUCCAAGUGCCACUUAGUUAAAGCGGGCUUUGAAGUGCCACUUUAAGCGGCACUUCAUUAGCCGCUUUAAGUGAAGCGGUCUUCUCUUGCCCGCCUCACCCAGUAUCAAACCUUAAGCUUUUCAUCAAAAUUUCAUCAAAUUUGAUGAAUUUUUGACGAUUUUUGCUAAAAUAUCAAAUUUGAAAAAGUUUUGAUGGUCCAUUAGAUGGAGUUUUUUUGACUUUUUCAUCAAAUUUGAAUUUGAUGAUAGAUUUGAUGAACCAUUAGAGAUGCCCUAAAAGGGAUUUAAAACCUACCAUUGGGAAUGCUCUAAGUGCUUAACUGAAGAAAAAACAAACGAUAUCUCAAGCUGUUUAUAAAUAUGGGCAUAUGGCGAGGAGAUAAAAGUACCCUUUAUAUGUGCUGUUGUCAUCUAGUAUUAUAGUUUAUGGAUUUUUAUUACUUAUAAUGUUCUGAUAUUGCAUGUUGUGAAAAACUUGCAUAAUGGUAAGGGAUUUUAUUUCUGCAGGUUGUCAAAGCAUCCAUUGUACCAAAAUUUGAAAAAGUUGAAAAAGAAAUGAAAUUUGGAAAUAGAAAACUGAAAAUAGUUUUCCACAGGGCCUUGACUUUCAGUUUCAAACAGACCCUAUUUUCACAUAGAUGCCUACCUUAAUUGCAAGAAUAUCAACUAAAGUGCCAAUACAUAAUUUAAGAAAAGACCACAAAGCUGCGGUCAUAGCCUUUGUCAAUGGUAGCAGAGGCUUUCAAAUAAACCUAUGUAAUUCCAAGAAUUACUGUACAAGACUAGUGUUUACCUUUCAUCAACUUCUACAUUAACCUCAGGAACUACCUCUAGUAUUGAUGGUAGCAUUGAAAAACUAGAGGACUGCCCAAACUGAAAUGGAUAGGGAGGCUUCUUAACAGGUAUUUCAUUCUCAAGCACGAAUACAACCUGGUUCAUUGAAGGUCUUAUUUCAGGAUUAUAAUGAGAGCACCAUAAUGCAACCGUAGCUAAUAACUUUGCUCUCCCUCUUUCUUUCUCUGUGAUCUCACAGUCCUUUAUAAGUUGGUCUAGCUGUCCAUUAUUAAACUUCUGCCCAAACUUGUUCUGGAAACCAGUUUUCGCAUUCUCCAUUGCUUCUCCUCCCUAAAAUUUCAAACAACAUCAUGCCAAAGCUGUAAACAUCACAUUUGUAAGUUACGCGUGAUCCCGGCAACCAAGUCUCUGGGGCAUUAUAACCUUGAGUGCCUCUGGUUCUGGUCAAGGGAAGUUUCGAGAUAUCCCGUUUCAUAAGCUUUGAUAAUCCAAAAUCCGUAAUUCUAGGCGAAAAAUUCUUGUCAAGGAGCACAUUACCAGCCUUUAUGUCAUAGUGAAUUAUCCGUUCAUCCCCACCAUCGUGCAAAUAAAGAAGCCCCCUUGCAGUCUGCACUGCAAUGCUAUAGAAUGUCUCCCAGUCUAUACCACUACCGUGGUUCUCGUACAAAAUCGUAUCCAAAGAACCGUUCUCCAUAUAUUCAUAAACAAGUGCUUUCAUGUUCUGCUCAAAGCAAUACCCAUAGAGUUUCACUAAGUUCCGAUGGUAAGCCUUUCCCAUUGUGCUGAUUUCGGCCAUGAAGAUCUCUUCAACAACAUCUUUAGUCACCAGUACUUUAACAGCUACUUGCAAACCACCAGGAAAUUGGCCUUGGUAGACAUCUCCAUACGCGCCAGAGCCUAUUUUACUAGAUUCCGAGAAAUGUGAUGUAAACUUUUCAAGAUCCCAAUGAGAGUAUCGCUUUGGACCCAAUUCACUUAAGAACUUUUCAACCAAGUCUGAGCUAGUGGCUUCUUCCAGUGUACUAGGAUUCAUCAUAUUUAUGAGGUUGCUACAAGUCUCCCAGUUCACGAGUGUGUACAAGUCGCAAGAAUCCCUGUCAGGCAUUACAGAUCCAAUGUACAGUCCUGCCGCCAUCGGUUCACCCACCCUCCACAAACACGCAAAAUUUCCACUUUGGACAUGGCGAAAUCUGACAUUAGUGGAUUGGUCUUCCUCUAAUUUAAACAGUGUACAAUAGAUUUUGGAUUUGUCUUCCUCUGGAUGCUUAGCCCCAGCAACGAUCCAACCAUUGCCCUCUUGGCCACUGAGAUUCCUGACCAUGUAUCUGUUGUUGAAACAACUUUUUAUGUGCAUCAGUCCCUUAUCUUUAUUCUCAGUGCUGUUUGCCAUUUCCAAUGCAAACUUUGCAGUUGGGCUCAUAUCCUCAUCCCCAUCAAAUUUCAUAUACCCUUCCGGUACACUCUUAUUAUUAAGAUCUGUUAAGCUCAGAUACUUAUUGUUGUAAACUGAUUUUACUACCACAAACCUUGCCAUUAAUUUCUCUAUAGAAAUAAAAUUGACAACUUUAACUCUAGGUAAACCACAGGACAGAAGAGAUGGAAAUCUUGAGUUUACCUUAAUUUCUAAAUGAAAUCGUGGUAGAGGUGACUGGAGAAUGAAGAUCAGAUCACAAACCAGACCGCAAAGAAGAAGAAGAAGAAGAUAGAUGAUGGAAAAUAGAAUAGAAUAGAAUUAGAUGAUAUCGGUUGAAGUUUUUCACUUUAAUCAGUUAUUAAUGGUGGAGAUCGAAGGUACUUUCAAGUUUCAACAACUUUCAACUUGUUUGUUUCUUUAAAAAUAUAAAAAAAAUAAUAUCAGCUGUGUCACACACUGAAUUCAAGCCCCACAUCUUUAAAUAAUUGAAAUUUGAAAGACAACCAAUCAACAGACAUCAAUAGUCAAAAGUUUAAAGGAAGACAGCUCACACUGAAAUUUUGUCUCCUCGAACGGAAAAUAAUAAAUAAUUUGAAGGAGCCUUCCGUCUAACUUCCAUCCAAUAAUUGAACCUUCUUGAGUAUUUGAUUUGACAUAGGUCCAUGUUUUAAAUGUGUUUUCUGAGAUGGAAAAAAUACAUUAAAUGAGUUGUUCAAGUUCAACAACUUUAAUUUAAUAAAUAUAUUUUUAAACAAAUUUGUGAAACCCAAUGUUUUUUUUUCUUCCAAAAUAUUUUUAUAUAACUUUUAUUUUUUAUAAUUUUUUUUUCUUUAAAACAUAUAGUUUUUUUUUAAAAAUUUAUACUCUUCUUUCAUCUUAAACUCCACUUUUUUUAUUUUCUAGUUUUAAGGAAUCAAGAUGAAUAAAAUACUAUUAACUUGAUAAAAAAAAAUAACACAAAACUAAAUAAUUGAGGAAUUAAAGAUAGUUUAAUGGGUUGUUUAUCUAUUAAACAUAUUUUAUUUUUAUUUUUAUAAUUUAAAAAUUCAAGAAGUUAAAUUUUGAGUGUCGGAAUGAUUACAAAACAACUGGUAGCUCAGUUGGUCUGGUACUCCUCUCACACGAGUGAGAGGUUGUGAGGUCAAUUCCCACCCAGAGUUCUUGGAAAAAUUUCUCGUCAAAGCCCUCGGUCAUGGUUCGUGAUUAGAAGGCCUAUACUCCCAUGAUGUCAUGAUGUGCUUGUUUGUUGUCAUUCAGCAAAAGCAAGUCCCUGUGUAGCUAUGCCCAGCUGGCAACUUUGAAUGAUGUCAUGAUGUGGUUGUUUGUUGUCAUUCAGCGAAAGCAAGUCCCUGUGUAGCUAUGCCCAGCUGGCAACUACUUCAAAGUAUUAUAUCUGUUGAAUUUUGAAGUAGUUGUCAGGUUGUGGAAAAUUUUUCUGUUGUCAUUCAGCGAAACCCAAUACUUUUUUUGUGAAACCCAAUACUUCAAUUUAAUAAUAGUGUCCCUCAGAAGGCAGAUCAACACUAUGCCCAGCUGAUGUUUUGAUAAAUAGUUCGUUAGAAGAGAAACAUGCAUGUGUUGACAUCAUAUCACAGGGGCAUCUCCGAUGGUGGGGUUUGGUAAUGAAAAUUUCGAAGUGGGUCAGACAGUCACUCAUGCAGGUGCAACUAAGGUACAAAAACACGAGAGGACAUGUGCAACGAACCAGCAUUGUUUCAUUCUUUUUUCUUUUGACACUUUUGGGUUUUUAACACCAGAAGCAGUUGAACUUCUCAGGAGGAUAGAAAAAGUGAUGAGUAACAAUGUGAUGACCGCGGGUUCGAAUGAAUAUGCAUUUCGUCGGAUUGGUUUUGAUAUUCAAAAAGGGCUUGUAGCGCAGUUUGUAGUGCGCUUGUCCUCUAACUUUGUGUAAUUCCUCCAAUCUUUAUCAAUAAAAUUUGUUCCGGAUUUUUAAAAAAAAAAAAAAAAAAGUGUUGGAUUGAUUGUUCAAUGGAUUUCUAGUAUUUUUCUUACUGGAUCACUAAUUUUAAAAAUUCGAUUGAGGAAAGUGUAUUAAUUUGAAAAUAAGAUCAGAGGAUUAGUGUUUACUUUAUUCAUUUUUAUUUUCUUUUGUCUUAAAUCUAUGGGUUCUGCAUCAGUUAUUUACUAAUUCUUUUAUAGUAAAUAUGUGGGUCAUGUAUUAAUUAUUAAAAGUCCAAGAGAAAAAAAUAUAUGGUGAAAAAGAGGGUUCUAUCGAACCGUUGAUGGAGGUGGGUUCCUUCAAAAUAAUUAGAAAAAGAAUAAAAUAAAAUUAUAAUGGGAAUAUAUAAAAAUAAAAAUAAUACUAACCCAUGCAUUUUUAUUUUUUUUUUAUAAGUAAAAAUUUAUUAAUUAUGAGAAAGAAUUACAGCACAACAACAACCCAAAACUGGAUUGAGAUAUGUUCCAGAUGAAGCUAAUAAAAACAACUGAUUAUCCUAGUGUGCCAGAAAUAAUCUCCUCCCAAUUGAAUAACAGGUCCUGAAACCUGUGAUGUUUUCUUUCCUCCCAAGCCCCAAGUCAGUACCAAAUUGUAGCCUUUAUCUCCUUACAAGAUCCCUGGAUGCUCUGCACCUCUUGACGAAAAAUUAUGUGAUUUCUCUUCUUCCACAGUGUCCAUAUAACUGCAUAUGGCAAAAGCUUACAAAAUAACCCAUGCAUAGCACGGGCUAAGACACUAACAUACAAAAUAAAAUAAAAACAACAAUUGCAGCCAACACUGACAUCCAAUUCUUCCUUACUAUCUGCUUUUUCAUUUUUUGGAUGGGUUAGCCCCCAGUCUUACAAUAAAUAAUCCUAUGCUUAAGAAUAUACGUCGAAUACCAAAAGGAGUUAUUCAUGUUCAAGAUAUGAUAUAUUUAAAACAAGAGAUAUUGAUAAUAAAAUUGUAUGUUGCAGCAGUAUAUAAUUUUAUUAUUGUAAGAUUUAAUUUGACAAUGGUCAAAUAGUAAUGAAAGCUAGUAAUAGAGCAAAUCGUUACAGUAGGUGAAAUAAAUGACAGUUGAUACUCAGAUGAUUUCAAAUGUCCAGAGCAUAAAGGUUAUGCUUGUACUGUAAGUUUAUUUGAGUUGCUUUCAAAUUACAGUAGGGAACCUAUGAUGUGUGCUUCUAGGAUUUUUUUUUUGUUGUGACUCACCUGUACAUGGAUUGUUUUUUUUUAUAAAUAAAAAUUUAUUGAUAAAAGAAAAGUAACAAGAUUACAACCUGAUCAAUUAACACAUUAAGUGUAAAUUAGAUCAAAACACUUAAAAACUCGACUAACAUGAAACAACAUAUUCUCAAGAAAAUCAAACUAAUCAUAAACCCAAGGCACACUUACCCAGGGUUGCAAUUCUUUGCAUCCAACAUCUUUUUAAAAAGUUUUUCUUGCCCUUCUAUACUCAUGCCAGUCAAACCCAUUUUCUUAGCCAAAGGGACCACAACAUAUUUCACUAAAUUUUCAUGUCCACAAUUUCACCUCCUAUCAAGCGAUUAGCAAUUUUCGACAUUUUAGCCGAAUGAUGUUGUUGCUCAGUCAAACUAACCUGGAGGGCAAUCGCUUUUCAAGAGUGAGUUGUGUAUGAUUUUUCUUCUUCUUUGUCUUCUUCAAAACACUCCCAUUAGCUUCCUUUUUGUGGAGAAUCAUAUUUUCGGUUACACUUUCAUCAUUCUUGUCUCCACUGUAGGUUCUAUUCUUUCUAGCCUUCUCCAUUAAUUCAUUACUCAAAUGAUCAGCAAUUCCAUCAUCUAGUAUCACUGUAGGGGUACUAUAUACAACAUACAUGUGGCACCAUCUCUACCGUCCAUCAUGGUGCCACAUGUCAACAUCUAAUGGGCUCUCUCUUGAUGGCACAAGUUACAAAGUUAAGCCUUAUUAUUACAAAGAUAUUUUCCCCAUUAUUACCCUAUUAAUUGCUAAGAAUGGAGUUACAUUGUAGCCUAUAAAUAUAAAGGCAAACUACUCAUCUUCUCAUGGUCUCAUUGUGAAUCAUACACAAGACCUCAACACUCUCUCAUGACACCUCACCUCUCAGGUCUCAUCUCUCUCUUGAGCUCUCUCCAUUAUCGAGCUCCCAUUUUGUAUCACCACUACUAUAAUAAAGUUCAUUCUCUCUCUCCGUGGAUGUAGGCACAAUUGCCGAACCACGUAUACAAUGGUGUUCACGUCUCUACUUUAUUAUUGUUCAUAUCAUACACAUCAUCAUCUUUCAUUAAUGUAUUGACCAACCUCACAAAUAUGGUUAAUACAUUUGGCGCCGACUACAGGGACUUGGGAUUUUCUCAAGCGAAUUCCACCCACCAACCCCACCGAACACCAUUGUUCUAAGGUUCUCAGAUGGUGAUUUUCAAGAAAUUCAUUGAAUUUGAAAAGAUAGAAUUGCAACUCACAGUUGGGGGCUUGGAGCAAAUUGUUUACACAAUUACUGGACUCGACAGAAGCAAGAUAAGUAUCACUUUAAUAUUUUUUGGUGAUUGAAAUGAGGCACCGAGCUAUCAAGGAGCGACCUCAUCAUCUACUGUUUAUUCUACACAGUUUCACAUAUAUUUAUCUGGUGGUAUAUUUUCAUGUACAAAUAUCAGUUUACAUUCUCAUUAUAUUGAUAUGUUUAAUUAUCAAUUCAACAUGUGGCCAUGGUUCAACAACUUAUUUCAGAUCCAUUUGCCAUGCCACAUCAAUUCUCGUGAUUAUUUACAAAAAACCAUGGAAUGGAUUCAGUUACUGAUUCACAUUUUUUACCUUGGUCAUAUGGUCUUUCAAGUUCAGGUCUCUUAUUGUGACCUCGACAGGUCUACCAACGACCUCUCAGGUCUCGUCGCGACCUCACCAGGUCCUUCAUACCAGGUCUUUCAUGCCAGGUCCUUCAUACCAGGUCUUUCAUGCCAGGUCCUUCAUACUAGGUCCUUCAUGCCAGGUCCUUCAUACCAGGUCUUUCAUGCCAGGUCCUUCAUACCAGGUUCUUCAUGCCAGGUCCUUCAUACCAGGUCCUUCAUGCCAGGUCCUUCAUACCAGGUCCUUCAUACCAGGUCCUUCAUACCAGGUCCUUCAUACCAGGUCCUUCAUGCCAGGUCCUUCAUACCAGGUCCUUCAUGCCAGGUCCUUCAUGCCAGGUUCUUCAUACCAGGUCCUUCAUCGCGACCUCACCAGGUCUAUCAACGACCUCCUCAAAUUACAGGUCUUUCAACGACCUCAAGAAUAUUUAUGCCAUACAGGGGGCUAUUCUCACUUUAUCUAAUGAAAUUAACUUAUUAUUAGCACAAUUAGCUAUUAAUGAUAUUUUUUGUAGCUCUCUCUAUGUGCAUGUCACAUGAACACGACCUCACUCCCCAUGAGCUAUUUUUGCACAAAUGUGCCACAUUGCUUUCACUGAACUCUUUACAAGUGAAAUGCUUGAUAUACAAUACGGCCACCCUCAUUGACUAGUGAGUCACUCGUAUGCGGGACGACCUCAAACAAAAUUCUCUAGCCACACGCCUGGUCGAACGCAUUCACUCUCAACGCAAUGCAGACCCACAAAGGCCACAUGCCCGAGAAUUGUCAAACAGGUCUCCACGCUGCGACCAUUCACUAGAUCGGGAACCAAAAGGUUCCAAGUAACUCUCAAAACACUUGGUCAACCAAUGCUCUUUCUCAAACGAGCUACAUGUGCACUCCAAAGUGCCACAUCUAUUGGAAUGUCCAAUCACAAGGCGACAAAGAUAGUACAUAAAAAACUCAUAAGGAAGACAUACAGUUCAGUGUAAGUCUCUUACUAAAUUUUAUAAUAUUUCACAUGCUAACAUUAUCAACAAGUAUCAGGUCUAUGCAACUCGACCACAAAAAGACAACCACCCAUGUAUGCAAGAAGACCCACUUCAGUACGACCUGCUUGCAGCUGUACAUCUCGUCUACUUGCCUUCUGAACGAGCUACCAGGUCUCCCUGGAACUAACUAGCUCGCUAUACACAAAUUCAUGAUCGAGUUGCCAUUACCACAAGGGACCUUCAUCGCGUCCUGCAAAUCUCAAUGAUCAAGCUCAUCAAAAUUUGGGGCGGAUCGACUUCGUUAAAGAACCCCAUAUUUCAUUCAUCUUGGGGGCUGGAUCGGUUCGAUUACUUCUUUUCAGCCCGAACUCCGUUCAACCUAAAAAGAGGGGGCUUAUGUAGGGGUACUAUAUACAACAUACAUGUGGCACCAUCUCUACCGUCCAUCAUGGUGCCACAUGUCAACAUCUAAUGGGCUCUCUCUUGAUGGCACAAGUUACAAAGUUAAGCCUUAUUAUUACAAAGAUAUUUUCCCCAUUAUUACCCUAUUAAUUGCUAAGAAUGGAGUUACAUUGUAGCCUAUAAAUAUAAAGGCAAACUACUCAUCUUCUCAUGGUCUCAUUGUGAAUCAUACACAAGACCUCAACACUCUCUCAUGAGACCUCACCUCUCAGGUCUCAUCUCUCUCUUGAGCUCUCUCCAUUAUCGAGCUCCCAUUUUGUAUCACCACUACUAUAAUAAAGUUCAUUCUCUCUCUCCGUGGAUGUAGGCACAAUUGCCGAACCACGUAUACAAUGGUGUUCACGUCUCUACUUUAUUAUUGUUCAUAUCAUACACAUCAUCAUCUUUCAUUAAUGUAUUGACCAACCUCACAAAUAUGGUUAAUACAAUCACUAUCUCUGAGUUUAUUUGAGUUGCUUUCAAAUUACAGUAGGAAUCCUAUGAUGUGUGCUUCUGGGAUUUUUUUUUGUUGCGACUCACCUGUACAUGGAUUGUUAUCGGAAAGCCAGUACAGUAUUACCAAACCUAUUAUACAUCCAGGUACAUAUCGGACCGAAGUAAUGUUUGUUUCGAUACUUACUUUGGAAUGCUCUUCCACAAAACCCCACAUUGUUCAAUAUGUAAGUGGCCUUAAAGUUGUAAGUCAGAAAAUUCUAUCAACCAUUGUCUUGUCCAAUUUCUGUAUGUAUCUUCUGGUUCAAGAUUGUUCUCCAAUUCAGCCCACCUUGGGUUGUAUGACAUUGCUACAAAAACAUAAUCAAUAGUAUCCAUUCUAUUGAGAAUAUGAUGGUAUGCUAAUUUGGGUUGUUCUAAUAAAUAUUAACUAUAUCAAAAAUUGAGUAUAAGCAAUUAAACCAAUCUAAAAUCUGUUUAUUGUUCUUUUAUCUCUUUGAAAUUUUGAGAAGUCCGUUACUUCCGAAAUUUGUUUGGGAUUUUUAGACUUAACCUCUUUUAUUAUGAUAAUAUUGUAAAUAAACCCCCUCGUUUUGUCCAAAAUCGGACUUUACCCUCUCCGUCUCCCUUCCGUCCCAUUUAACGUUUAAUUUCUAAUAUUCUGACAAAAAUACCCCCUACACUGUAUACUCUUUGAGAAGAAGAUGCAAAGUUUGGUUGGAUUUUCUAUGUUAAAAAUGGUAGAAGAAAUCAUGGUCUUUGGAAGGAAAACAAACAAAAACCAAUUUUAAUUAGUUUCAUCAGAUUCUAAUUUCUUCUUGUAAAAUUAAAUUUGUAGUUGUAGGAUUGUGCUGAUGGGUUGUACAAGUUCAAAGUUAGAUUGUUAUUUUCGAUCAAGAUCUUAUCGACAACUCUCCUUCUUCUUUCUUUUUCUCCAUUUCAUCAUCAUUCUGGUCAUUCUUCACUUUCACAUUAUCAACAAUAAAAUCACCCCCCACACUUUAUUAUCAACCUCCUUUAACAUUAGCAAGAUGAAGAUUGAUCUACGCCGUCGAUUGUUCAUGAAAAAAUUAAAGGCCAAUGAGUCCAGAAACUAUUUAUAUGAUUAGCCAUGGUGGUGGUGGUGCUGAUGGUGGUGAUUCAUCUUCUUAUUAUACUAAUUAUUACCCAUCUUCUUCCUCUUACUCUAAUUAUAGGUUAAAUGGUUCGGGUUCACCGCAUUGUGAUAAAUUUUUUUUGCAAAAAGCAAGCGUGGGGUUUAGGCAGACCCCAACCAGAUAUUAUUAACUUUGAAGAAAAAUCAGAUUACAUUCUUUGGUAAAGUGUGCCAUUGGCAUCGCUUUCCAGGAACUUAUCAAUUACAUCUCCCAUGGGGUAGGCAAAAAAGAUAAUGUUCUCAGUGUCAGGGUAUGUUGUAGCCAAAGCAUCAGCAACUUUAUUAGAUUCCCUAAACACAUGUUGGAUAAUAACCUCUUCAAAAGCACUCCUAAGAGUGUUGAUAUACUGAACCAUGCUAAGUGCUAACAAGUCCUCCAGGUUGGAGGUGUUAACUGUUAAGUCGUUUAGAAUUCUGGAAACUUGCAUAGAACCAAUUUGUACCAUGAUCUUCUUCAGUCCCAUAUCUUUAGCUAGCUCAAGCCCUUUCUCAACUGCUAUCAUCUCAAGAAAGAGACCCGAAUUUGAUGAUGAACCUGCAAUAUAAGCUUGUAAUACUUGCCCUUGUUCAUUCCGCAAUACACCUGCAUAUCCAGUGUCGUGUUGUCCCAUUGCUCCAUCAGUAUUGAGUGCUGUCCAUCCACUAGGGGGUGGGGUCCAGGCAUUGUGAUAAAUUUCAAGAUGAAGUGUUUAAAAAAACAUUCAUACAAAAGAAGAGGAUUGCAAAACAGAGGAGGGGGUAUUUUGAUCAAACUACUGAAAAAUAUACGUUAAGGGCCCGUUCGGCAACACCAUAGAAAUGCAUUUCUUUCCUUCUUAGAAGUAAAAAAAAAAAGGAGAAAGUCUGUUCGGCAACAAUUUUAGAAUGUAUUUCUAAGAAAACAAUUUUACAAGAAGUUUCUCGUUUUAACUUUUACUUCCGCCUUCCUCCUUUCCAACAAAAAACUUACUAAAAAAUUUCAUCCUGAUUUCACAUUGGUUGCCGAACGGCCCUAAAUGAGACAAAAGAGAGACGGAAAGAGGUAAAAUCAAAUUUUGGACAAAAAGAAGAGUUUAUGCAAAUUUUUGUUGAUCACUUUACCAUUAUUCUUUGCCCUGCUGUCCAACCCCUGGACACUCUCCAUAGAAGGACUAUCUCUGACCUCUUCCCUCCAAUCCUGGAUAAUUUAGACAAUGACUUUCUCACCACACUAGGCCUGUAAAAAUGGCCCUUUGACCCUAAACCCGGCCCAGCCCGCCCGACCCAUUCAAUGAAAAAAGCCCUUAAAGCUUGACCCUUAUGAUUUUUAGGGUAGGGCCGGCCCGACCCUCUCCUUUCAAGGGUCGGGUUAGGGUUUAGCUUUGGAAAUCGUAGACCAUACCUUAGCCCGACCCUAAUUAACCCUCUCAAAGCCCUCUUACGGCCCUCAUAAAUAUAUGUAUAAUUUUUAAUAUAUUUCUUUAUAUAUCAAAAUUUGAACAUUUUUUUUAGAAUUUUAAUCGUAAAGAUUUUUCCAAUUAGACAUAUAUGUCACUUUUUUUUAAGUUAUAUGAUAUUUAUCAAAUGUUUAUCGAAUAUUUUCCGAACUAGUUGUUAAAAAACUAUUAUAUAACUAAAAGAAAUUGAUUCUCAAUAAAAUAUUUUUUUUAACCAUAUAUUUCAUUAUUGAGCAUGCAAUAAACGAUAAUUAGAUUAUUAUUUUAAAUGUGUAUUUUAUACUUAUCAUACUAGAAUUUUAUAAAUUUAGGAUUAAAUUUCUAAAGUUUGAAAUUUUAGUAAUAAGAUAACAUCUAACUACGAGUUCUUUGUAUUUAUUAAUUGUAAUGCUCUUGGAUAAAAUAAUAUCAUAUACUAUAACAAAUUUUAUGGUGAAAAAAAUAUAUUUGUACAUUUAAGAAUUGAAACAUAUUAUACGUAUUUUCAAAAAUAUUAAUAAAAACAUGAUCGCAUAUUUUUAUUCAAGUAAAACAUAAUUCUAUGUAUCGACCCUAUCAACCGGGCCCGUUAGCCCGACCCUCAACCCUUUAAAAUAAAGGGCUAAGGGUUGGGUGAGGUUUUCACAAUUUUUGUGUUGGUCCGCCCUAACCCGACCCUCAUCAUCUUUUAGGGUAGGGUUGCCCGACCCUUAAAGUGUGAGGGCUCGAGGGUUCAAAGGCCGGGCUAGCCCUACCCGACCCAUUUUACAGGUCUACACCACACCCUCCACCAUGGAUGAGAUCAAGUUUUAUAUGGAUGGGAUAGGGGCCCUCAAGUCCCCUGGUCCUGAUGGUUUUCCAAGCCUUUUUUGUCACCACUCCUGGGAUACCACAAAGGACGAUAUCUUCAGAAUGGUUUUGGAUUUUUGGAUGAAUAACUUCUCCCUUGAGCAAAUAAACAAGACUAACAUAGCUCUCAUCCCGAAAUGCCCUAAUCCCUCUCAUCCGGCGGAUUUUAGGCCCAUUAGUCUUUGUAAUAUGAUAUACAAAGUCAUAUCUAAAUCCAUUGCUGAAAGAUUAAAAACUUUCCUCCCUAACAUCAUCUCCCCUUUACAGUGCGCCUUUGUCCCUCAGAGACAAAUCUCGGAUAAUAUCAUAAUAACUCAUGAAAUUCUCCAUACUUUGAAAAAUAAAAAAGGUGAGGGGGGUCUUAUGGCUAUUAAAAUUGACAUGUCUAAAGCCUUUGAUAGGAUAAAUUGGGAUUGUCUCAUGACAAUUUUAUCCUCUCUAGGUUUCAGCGAUAAUAUCCGAAAGCACAUUUACAACUGUAUCUCUACCAUUAACUCUUCCAUCAUCUUAAAUGGGAGCCCUCAUGGUUACUUUAAAUCUACUUGUGGUCUUAGACAAGGGGACCCCCUCUCCCCCACCUUUUUCAUCCUAUCCAUGGAGCUUCUGUCUAGGCUUCUAAAUGCUAAAUGCAAUCAAGGGAAACUUCAUGGCAUAAAGGUUGCCAAAAACAACCCUCCUAUUUCUCAUCUCCUCUUUGCAGGUGACAUUUUCAUUUUCUGCAGAGCAAAUGAGAUGGAAGCAAAGGAAUAAAUUGAGACAUUAGACACCUUCUGCCAUCUCUCUGGCCAGCAACUAAAUUAUGAAAAAUCGGGAGUCCUGUUUAGUAAAAACACCUCUAACUCCAACAAAGACAACAUCCUUAACAUCCUCCACAUGAAGACCUUCAACAAAAAUGAACUCUACUUAGGUACUCCUUUAUUUCUAGGAGAGAAAAAAACUUCCAUGUUCAGAUGCCUCAUAAAAAGAAUUGAAAAAAGACUUUCUGGAUGGAAAGGUAAAGUCCUUUCUCAAGCGGGAAAAAUUGUCCUUAUUAAAAAUGUCUCUUCGGCGAUACCUUCCAACCAAAUGACUUGCUUCAAAAUCCCUAAGGAAAUCACUAAGAAAAUAGACUCUAUCCAAAGAGACUUCUGGUGGGGAAAAGAGGAAAACAAAAAGAAAAUGUACCUAAGAAGUUGGGACUACAUUUGUAGGCCCAAAAGAUUAGGAGGCAUUGGAAUAAAAAAAAUGGACCUCCGGAAUGAUGCCCUUCUCUCUAGGAUAACUUGGAGACUUCUUACUAACCCUGACAACUUGUGUUCCAGGAUCUUUAAAUCCAAAUAUCACAAAAAUCCCCCCCCCCCCUCUUGCAAAGCUCCUGCAACUCUAAUGCCUCUUGGAUAUGGAAAUCUAUCUCUGAUUCUAUCCCAAAAGUCAAACUUGAAACUUGUUGGGAAAUAGGAAAUGGGGAAAAUGUCAACAUUUGGGAUGACAAUUGGGUGCCAACUUUACCCCAAUAUAGAAUCCCAAACAUCUCAAAUCAACCUCCUAACAUCCUCACUGUUAAUGACCUCCUUAUUCCAAACACUAGCUUCUGGAAUAGGUCUCUUCUUCACUCCAUCUUUGACAACAACACUUGCCACCACAUCACUAGCAUUCAACCUGGAGGAAACCACCAUCAGGACAAUCCCAAAUGGAUGCGCACAAAAAAAGGUAUACACAGUGUCAAAUCUAUGUACGCACACCUUGCCACACCACCUCACAUUACUACUGUUAAUGAGAACAUUAAUCUGAAACUUUGGAAAGCUUUAGCCACUCCUACAGCUGUUAUGUUCACCUGGAAAUGCCUUAAUCAAGUUGUCCCUACUAGAGCUCACAUAGGGCAAUUCAUGCAAUUACAAUCUCAAAACUGUCCCAUGUGUCAGCAUCAUCCUGAAACUUUGCAUCAUAUGCUUAUACAAUGCCCUUUCACUCAAAAAGUGUGGUUCCUUAGUAAAAUGAAUUUCAGACUUACACACUUUAUGAACCUGACUGUAAACCAAUGGAUAAAGUCCUGGUUUUUACCUCACAAGGACUGGUUGGUACCUCAAAAAGAAUGGGCUAGUUUCUGUGUUAUUGCUACAUGGCAGAUAUGGAAAAGCAGGUGUAUCAUGGUUAACCAAAACAAACUCUUGGAGCCAGAUCGAAUCGAUGGCUCAACAGAUUGACAAGGAAAUGUACAAGCAGUUUAAUACAACUGCAACUGCAGAUAUUCAACCAAGAUCUCAGGGUGUAGGGAUAUGGAUCCCACCAAGUAAAAGCUUCCUUAAGCUUAAUGUUGACAUCAAAUUCACAGGUGCUGAUGAAAGAAUAGGAAUUGGAUUCAUUUUGAGAACAUCAGAUGGUAUUUUUGCAGGUGCAGGAAGUUGAUCCAAUUCAGCAGGUUCAGCAGAUGAAUCAGAAUCAAGAGGAGUGUUGGAAGCCGUACUAUGGGCACUUACCAAACAUGUGACACACUUAGAGCUCGAAACCGACAACAAGGGGGUAGCUGAUUACCUCAACAGAUCUGAUGUCAACCUUUCUUGGCGCACAAGAAGUAUUUUGGAUAAUGUUUUUAUGCUUUUCUGUAAGUUUAUUGUAAUUAAGGUGAACUUUGUGGGUAGAAAAGGGAACCAAGUCGCUCACUUGCUCGCACAGCAUGCCACAGUAAGCUCUUUUGUUCCUACUUACUACUCAAAGCCACCAAGCUUCCUGUUACAGCAAUUACAGGAAGAUAAUCUACUAUGUAACAUUGCUGAAACUUAAUUUCUAUAUAUUCUGCUGAUUAUUAUAAAACAAAAAAAAAAAAGGAGAAAACUUGCUGUCAAGGAGCACAUUGCCAACCUUUAUGUUAUUGUAGUGAAUUAUUUGGUUAUCACAACCCUCGUGCAAAUAUGCGAACCCUUUUGUUGUCUCAAUAUAUUGCAGUAUUGUAAAACUUCGCCCACUCUAUGUUAUGAGGAUUUCUAUAGUCUAUACAACUGCUUUCAGGUCAUGUUCAAAAGCAAUAUCGAUAGAGUUUCACUAAGUUCCUGUGGGAAGCGUUGCUCAGUAUCUUCAUUUCAGACAUGAAUAUAUCUUCUAUGACAUCCUAUAGUAAGUGCCUUUUAAAAAACAAAAGUAUUCUUUCAAAGGCCCUAAAUAUUACCAUAUAUUGCAUUUAUUAGUUACUACUGUAUUCAUCCAUAUCCAUAUCUACUAAACAAUUUUCACAUUGAUGCCAAGCUCAAUUAUACAAUAUCAACUAGAGCACAAAUGAAUCAUUCAAGAAAAGAACAAAAAUCUGUGGUCAUAGCUUUUAUCAAUGGUAGUAGAGGCUUUUAAAUAAACCUAUGUAAGUCCAAAAAAACAAAUUACAUGUAGUGUUUACCUUUCAUCAGCAUUUGGAAGUUUGGAACCACCUCUAGUAUUGAUGGUAGCAUUGAAAAACUGGAGGACUGCCCAAAUUGAAAUGGAUAGGGAGGCUUCCUAACAGGUAUUUCAUUCUCAAGCACCAUUACAACCUUGUUCAUUGAAGGUCUUAUUUCAGGAUUAUACUGAGAGCACCAUAACGCAACCGUAGUUAAUAACUUUGCUUUCCCUCUAUCUUUCUCUGUGAUCCCACAGUCCUUUAUAAGUUGGUCUAGCUGUUCAUUAUUAAACUUCUGCCAAACUUGUUCUGGAAACCAGUUUUCGCAUUCUCCGUUUCUUCUCCUCCCUAAAACUUCAAACAACAUCAUGCCAAAGCUGUAAACAUCACAUUUGUAAGUUACGUGUGAUCCUGGCAACCAUGUCUCUGGGGCAUUAUAACCUAGGGUGCCUCUGGUUCUGGUCAAGGGGAUUUGCAUGAUAUCCCUUUUCAUAAGCUUUGCUAAUCCGAAAUUCGUAAUUCUAGGCGAAAAAUUCUUGUCAAAGAGCACAUUACCAGCCUUUAUGUCAUAGUGAAUUAUUCGUUCAUCCCCACCAUCGUGCAAAUAAAGAAGCCCCCUUGCAGUCUGCACUGCAAUACUAUAGAAUGUCUCCCAGUCUAUACCACCAUGGUGGUUCUCGUACAAAAUCUUAUCCAAAGAACCGUUUUCCAUAUAUUCAUAAACAAGUGCUUUCAUGUUCUGCUCAAAGCAAUACCCAUAGAGUUUCACUAAGUUCCGAUGGUAAGCCUUUCCCAUUGUGCUGAUUUCGGCUAUGAAGAUCUCUUCAACAACAUCUUUAGUCGCCAGUACUUUAACAGCUACUUGCAAACCACCAGGAUAUUGGCCUUGGUAGACAUCUCCAUACAUGCCAGAGCCUAUCUUACUAGAUUCCGAGAAAUUUGAUGUAAGCUUUUCAAGAUCUCCACGAGAGUAUCGCUUUGGACCCAAUUCACUUAAGAACUUUUCAACCAAGUCUGAGCUAGUGGCUUCUUCCAGUGUACUAGGAUUCAUCAUAUUUAUGAGGUUGCUACAAGUCUCCCAGUUCAUGAGCGUGUACAAGUCGCAAGAAUCCCUGUCAGGCAUUACAGAUCCAAUGUACAGGCCUGCCGCCAUGGGUUCAUCCACCCUCCACAAACACGCAAAAUUUCCACUUUGGACAUGGCGAAAUCUGACAUUAGUGGAUUGGUCUUCCUCUAAUUUAAACAGUGUACAGAAGAUUUUGGAUUUGUCUUCUUCUGGAUGCUUAGCCCCAGCAACGAUCCAACCAUUGCCCUCUUGGCCACUGAGAUUCCUGACCAUGUAUCUGUUGUUGAAACAACUUUUUAUGUGCAUCAGUCCCUUAUCUUUAUUCUCAGUGCUGUUUGCCAUUUCCAAUGCAAACUUUGCAGUUGGGCUCAUAUCCUCAUCCCCAUCAAAUUUCAUAUACCCUUCCGGUACACUCUUAUUAUUAAGAUCUGUUAAGCUCAGAUACUUAUUGUUGUAAACUGAUUUUAAUACCACAAACCUUGCCAUUAAUUUCUCUAUAGAAAUAAAAUUGACAACUUUAACUCUAGGUAAACCACAGGACAGAAGAGAUGGAAAUCUUGAGUUUACCUUUCUAAAUGAAGUCGUGGUAGAGGUGACUGGAGAAUGAAGAUCAGAUCACAAACCCGACCGCAAAGAAGAAGAAGAAGUGAUUGGAUUUGGUGAAAGUAAUUAAAUUGUUUGUAUGGGAUUUAAAUAAACAGAUAGAGAGAAACAAAGAUAGAUAGAUGAUGGAAAAAAUAGAAUAGAGUUAGAUGAUGUCGGUUGAAGUUUUUCACUUUAAUCAGUUAAUGGUGGAGAUCGUGUCUAGUUUCUUUAAAAAUAUAAAAAUAAUAUAUGAGCUGUGUCACACACUGUCAGGCUAUUGAUUCUGAAUUGUGGAUUGUUGAUUGAAUUAAAGGAAAGAAUAGAGAGAAGAAGAAGAAAAAGAUUAAUUGCAGAAGAAGAAAUGAGAAAAACAUGAAGUCAGUCAUGUAUGGCUCAGAAAACGCGGCACCGUCAGACAACCCUGAACGUCAACGUUUGGAUCAAAUCUACGGCUGAAAGAUCUCCACCACCUACUACACGUGUCAGUCCAUGUAAAAAAACCGCCUUCGUCAUCUACAAACUUGAAACUUCUGUUCUCUGCUUUUACACGUUACAACUUUUAUUUAAUAAAGUAGCCAGUAGGAUUCUUCCACCGGCUCCGGCCUGAAGAUUACAGGAGACUGGAGAAUACUAAAUUUUCAUACAUUGGCAUUUAAGUACUAUUGCUCAUGUGCGCGCCAGGAUCGGAACAAGAUUAAAACAAGGGCUAGCUUAGUUUGUCAGGAGCCACGUCACUUAGUGGUUAGCUUAGUUUGUUAAGUUUGUUGAGUGAUAUUUUUUUUUUGUUAAAUGUAAUCAGUGUAUAAAUAGGACAUGUGUAAGAGAAUAAAAGGAAUGAAAAAUAUAUUCCAAUUCUAUCCUUUGUAUUCUUCUUUCCUUCUUUCUCUUUUUCUUUCUUCUUCUUCUACUGAACCAGAUCCCCAGUUCUUCCUUCUAAACCCUAAUUCUCACAAUUCAAUUGUAAUUCAAUACAAUUUCAUUAAUCAAGAACUAAGUUCUUGACAUUUGGUAUCAGAACAUCAAGAUUAAAGAGUAUGGAAGUGAAUCAAAAGAAUAACGAACUUCGAUUUACAAAGAUUUCUGGUUGCGUUCCAAGAGAAACAAGAUUCGUUUCAAAACGAGCUAGAUGAAAUUCGUUCUUUGAUGGUUGGUUUGACGGAUAAACGUACAGCAGUAUCUCAUGAUGUGGGAUCGAUUCUCAAGCUUCAAGAAAAUGUUCAAAAUGGGAAUAAUUCAACAAAUGAUGUACUAGUUAAUGGAUCUACAAGGGAAGUUGGUUCUACAAGCAAUAGCAAUGGAAUUCUUGGUCCACCACCAUCUGUAACACAUAAAAACGAUGGAAUUCGUGUUGGAGUUGUAUUGGACCCUAUCGGUGUAAUACACUAGAGCCCAACACCAUAAUCACCAUAUAUCCUUAACCCAUAUUUAUUACCCAUAUUCCAUAUGGCUAUUCAACUUGAAGCACAAGUCUUUUUCAACAAGGAAACCUUAAUUAGGGUUUUUCAUAUCUACAAAUACAAAAAUCUUUACACGUCAAGAACUACGAAACAAGAGACUUGAUCCCUAGUUUCUUCAAGAAUUACGGUACGUAGGCAACCUUCAAAAAGAGAGGUUCAGUCUCGUCCAUCAACCACAAACAAUCUCCCCUUUCAUCAUCUUCUCCAUCGAUUUCAAUCAAUUGAGGGUGUCCGGUCAAAUUCUAUAGGAAAUCUGUCAUCUUGUUGAAUUUGGUCGAAACAUUCUUUGGCGCCGACUGGGGGGAUCAAUACACUCUCGAAUAUUAUAUAUUCUUCACUUCAAUGAUGAAACCUGACAAGAGAAUCAUAAUUGUUUUCUCGUUCAUGAAGCUGGAGAUUAUACUGCAAAACAAAACUUUGAUGGAAUCAUACACAAACACAUUCAAAAUUGUUCGCAACAAUCUUACUACUUCCAAGUUUAUUUUUUCAGAUUUAGUGGAAGUCAUGAUCAUGUCUCUUCUUGUUGGACUCACAACAUGUGCUCUUCCUUUUGAGAUAAUGAUCAUGGGGAUGUGGUCAUUACUUUGCUUUGUCAAUUUCAAAAUCUCAAGCGCCGUAUUAUUUAUCUCAAAUAAAAUUUGAAGAUUCCAUGAAGUUUUAAUGAUAGUCACACGGUUUGGGAACGCAUUAGCGAUUCCCUUGUUCUAUCUCGAAUAGAAACCGAUAUUGGGUAUUAACACGGUGGAUGAUAUUCAAUAUAUUCUUCAACCAAUGAAGUCUCAUAAUCAAAUACUCAUUUUGGAUGUAUAAUGUCAAGUUGAUAUUUUUAUGUUCCUUUUAAUUCAGACUCGUUUUUGAGAAACACACAUACAAGCCUUAUAUACGAACUUUCCAUCUUCCUUCUCGUGGGAAUCAUGCAGUAUAUGUCAAGACGAUUGUAUUAACCUAUUUCUAGAUUAAUGCAUCAACAGGGUCAGGUUGUUAUGGAGACUUGGCCAAAUGGGGGUGUUUGAGAUCGGGGUGGCUGCACCUCGUUGAGAUCGAGAUUGCCUACGUACUCUAGCUCGGGGAAAUUGAACUUAGAGAUCAAGCCAUCGUAGUUCUGUUUAUAUAGAAGAUUGAAGGGCGUGGAUCGUGGAUCUUGCAAAUUCUCCGCCAUUAUAAUGAGGAUUGAUUGUGUAACGCGCGUGGAUCAUCCCUGUGAAUUAAUUAUGUAACUGAUGAGAAUAUUCUGUGCAUUGAAUGAGAGCACGUGUGUAAGCAGGUCGCUGCUCGUUAUGAGGUCGAUCUGUUGUGGUCGAACAAUUAGUAGGUAGAGAGCGUGACGACCUGAUGGAUGAAUGACUGUGCCACGUGGCUGCUUUUGAUUGGUUGAAGUAUGUAGUACCCCUACAUAAGCCCCCUUUUUUUAGGUCGGCUGUGAAAGUCGGGCUGAAAAGACUAAGGACUCUUAUCGAUGCUGAUUUAUAGCUUGCUUUUUGAAUUUGCUGACGUGGCAGUCAUGCAACGCUGUCCGUGGUAAUCAUGGCGUUCUUACGGGGAAGUGGAGGAGUUUCCUCGAGCAGUUAGCCGUGUAGUUAUGGCAACUGACGCACGUAUUGCUUGAUUUGCUAUCUGCCUUCCACGUGGAUUGAUCCAACGGUGGAUGCAAACCGUUUUGUGAGUGGAGAAUAACUGUACUGCAUAUGGAUCCUUGCUCGAUCUAAGCCGUUCACCUGUUUCGAACCGAUGGCUGGGAUUACUCGUGCUACAGUAUUUAAGCUGUAGUUACCUUGAGAAGGGUUUACCUAUCUCGCCUUUAUUUGAAUUGCUGCCGCUUUUGCCUUGCGAUCUGGAGAACUUUUGAGAGCUCGUGAGGUUUGUCUUCUUCUCUCUCUUUUCUUUGAUUGUUUGUUUUCAAUCGUUUUCAUCUUCUGUUUUCGUCUUUACUGUGUUGAGAGUAAUGUCUGACGCUAGUGAUUCCCAAAAUGAUCACUUGAGUGGUGGGGUUGAUGAGUCUGAGAGUACUCAAUCUGACAUUCCGUCUCCAGUUCGCGAUGAGGAGGUAGAUAGCCCCCAGAGUAGUGGUUCUCAUGGGCCAGACUCUUCUGAUGAUGAAAUGGUAGAGGGCGACGAUGGUGCAAUGUGUAGAGUGGUGAAUAUGAAUUAUGUACAUAGGCAUUUUGCUGUUAGGAGGGUUUAUGAGUUUAGGUCGAUUAGGCACUUGGAGAUUAGAUUUCUUGGAGAUCGUUUGCUUUCUCCUGACUAUCGUCCUAAUAAUCCUUCCUCUACUGUACUUACUUUGAACCAAUUCCGUGCCGGGCUGAGGUUGCCAUUAUCUUGUUUGGUAGUCGACCUUUUGAAUGCCAUUGGUCGAGCCCCCUGCCAGAUGAAUGGUAAUUUUUGGCGGAAUAUGAGGGUAAUUAAUGACCUCAACAAGUUGCAUAGGUGUAACAUUACUGUGAAAGAUGUACUGAACCAUUUCAGCUUCAAACGCUCCUCGAAGGUUGAACUCUCGGGCUAUAACAUGCAAGUUAGGCCAGACCGUUUGCCUUUGAUCUAUCCAGUAAGUAGCGAGCCAUGGUGGAAGGAUCCCAUGCUGUUUACUGGGUCGAUUGUUGAGGGGGAUAUCCAGUUGCGUCAUGUUACUAGGAAUGACGCUCGUAAGUUUGUGGUCUUUAGUUCUAGGGUUGCUGACCCAUAUUCCUGUUUCUGGACUUGACGCUUUUGUGUUUUUGUUGCAGCGAUCAGGGACGAUCAUUUGGUGAGGAAGAACGAUCUGAGGUCCGCUCUAAACUGCUUUGGUAACUGGAGCGACGAGCGGAAAAUCUCGUUCCUACCCCACUUAAAGGAGUAUUUUAUUCCUAAAGGUGGUCCAAAGACUGUUUGGGACGAGCUCGAGAGGAGGAAAGCUUUGAAGAAAGCCUUUAUGUCUUCUGUUCACAAAUCUGGAGGUGGGCGAACUGGUAGCAGUGCCCGAGCUGGUGACGUCGAACGGGCUAGUGGUAGCUCGAGACAGGGGGAGAGAGAGCGUUCUGUCGGUGCUCCUAGGAGGUCAGAGAAGGAUCGACCUGCUGAGAAGGAUCGACCUCUGGUGCAUGGACGAUCUGUGGAGAGGGAGCUACCUGUGGAGAGGGAGCGGUCUGUUUGUAGCUCUCGCCAGGUUGAAGCAGUGGUGAGCCCCCCAGUCUCAGGUCCUCCCCCUCACUUCCUAAAGUAGGUGCAUUGGCUGGGAAGAAGAGGUCCUUCACAGGGAACCUUAAGCUGAUGGAGUUCCCAGCUAUGCCAGCUCCUGUUUCUUCAUUGCCUGUGACGUCUCCUGGGAUGUCUGUUUUGUCCAGGAAGACUGUUCCUCGGCCUUCGCAGAAGGGCAAAGGUAUUUCUUCUGAAUUCCGCCCCGGGCCGUUCGAUUAUUUGGAUGGUCAAGGAGAGAAGCAUGUCGUGUAUGAUAACGACAGUGCUAUCGAUGACCCUUGCGUUGCUCGGGCUGUGAAUGAGGGUAUCGUCCUGGACGCUGAUGCCCGGGCAGUGAAGUCGCAGACCUUGCUGGUGACCUGCUCGAAGAUUAACGCAGCGCUGUCUUUGGUGAGUGUAAUCGUAAGUCGCAUUUGGUUUGUUUAUGCUUUGACUUUUGGUCUGAAUUCUGUUGUUGUUUGCAGCUCAAUGCCAGCUUCCAGGAGGUGCGUCUGGUUGCUGAGAUUGGUGCUCAAGCUGAAAUUGAGUUGAAGGCGCUCAACGAGAAGCUCGAGCAGGCCAAGAACAUUGCUGUUGUUGCUGAGUGCAAGGUUAAAGACAGGGAUGCCCAGGUCGCAGCUCUGAAGGAGACGGUGGAGCAGUUAAAGGAACGUGAUGCUGCUUCUCAAUCUUCUGCUGAGUACUGGCAGAAGGUAUGUCAGGAGAAUGAAGCGGCGUGGAAGGCCUACUGCGACCAACUGGUGAAAGCUAUGACGGGGUCGCCCGAAGGAGAGGAGACGCGAGGUGGUGUUGAAGAUAAUUUGGCGCCAGCUCAGGACGCCUCGAUGGGCCCUAGUGACCAGGUCGCUGUAGCCCCUACUGAAGUUGAUGCUUCAGGCGACCAGUCUACGCAGCAGUAAGCUAGCCUUGGUGUCCCUUUUCUUGUAUUAGGUAACCUUGUGCAAAGUUUGUUUCUUGCACUCCUUGUUCUUGCAGUAUGUCUUCUUGCACUCCUUGUACUUGGCAGAGCGCAUUCUUGAGAGCCCCCUUGUAAUUUUGAGAGCUUGAGUGGAUAAUUCUUUGUCUUUGUAUUUACCAUCAGUAGUCAGUUUUUACUUUGAUGAGCUUGUAUGAAGCCCUUCUGACCAGCUAGUUUCCAGGGAGUCCUGGUAGCUCGUUCAGAAGGCAGGUAGACGAGAUGAAUGGCUGCAAGCAGGACGUACUGAAACAGUUCCUCUUGUAUGCCUUAACUCUAUUUUGCUUGUACCUGUAAUUGUUAAAAUCUCAUCAAGUAAAAAGUUAAAUCAACGAUUUACCUUGCAUUGUUAUUCAUGUCGUUCUGUCUGCUUGAAUGGGAUUUGCAAACAAUAAGUAACAUUCGCUUGACCUGCUUGGGGUUGAGGUCACAUUCCAUAUAGUUGUGCUUUGGUCGUGGGAAGAGAAUGACCAAUGCACCGAGUUAAGUUGUUCGUGAUUUAACUUAACAAAAUUUUAAAUUAUCAAAGGGACUAGAGUUUUGAUAAUUUGCAGGUCGAGGGAUUGGACCUUUAGUAGCCAUUCAUGUUUGAGCAGAGAUGAAGGCAAAAGUGAAUUUAUACAUUGAAAUGCAAUGAAUGGAUGCUUACAUUUCAUUGAUAAAAUUUCUUUAAGUGAAAAACAUUUCAUGGGUUCUUAACGAUCUCCCCUUCUGGUGUUUGAAGACGAUAAGAACCGUUGCUCUGAACCUUCGUGAUAAUGUAAGGGCCUUCCCAAUUGGCGUUCAGUUUGCCAAUCGUGUCCUUUCUUUUGUUGUUGAACAUUUUUCUUAGGACUAGUUCCCCUGGCUGGAAAGUUCUUGGUCGCACGCCUUUGUUAUAAGCUCGCUUGAGUCUCUGUUGGUAUUGCUCGAGCUUUAUAGUGGCGUGGUUACGGCGUUCUUCGAGGAGGUCGACUCCGAACGACCAGGCUUGAUUGUUGAGUUCAGUAUCGACCAGAAGUGAUUUGGUCGUUCCGAAUGUUAGCUCGGUGGGAAUAACUGCCUCAACUCCGUAGCAUAGGCUGAAAGGUGACAUCCCAGUUGACGUACGAGGGGUUGUCCUAUAGGCCCACAUGAUGUUUUCUAACUGCUGGGGCCAUUGAUCAUGCUGGUCUUCGAGCUUCUUCUUCAAAUUGUUUAGAAUCUGUCGAUUUGCAGCUUCGACCUGGCCGUUGGCUUGCGGGUAUCUAGGUGUUGACCUUGAAUGCUCUAUUUUCCAUAGGUCGUAGAAUGCCUUGAUAUUUUUUCCGACGAACUGAGUGCCAUUAUCUGUGACUACUCGUUUUGGUAGUCCAAACCUCGUGAUGAUGUUUUCCCACAUGAAUCUUUGGACAUCUGCUUGUUUUACGUUGGUUAGUGCAACAGCUUCUACCCAUUUUGUGAAAUAAUCGACGGCCACUAGAACGAACCUCUUUUCAGACUUCUUCUCUUUGAUUAGGGGGCCCAUGAUGUCAAGCCCCCACAUAUGGAAUGGCCAUGGUGCAGUGAUGUUAAUGAGAUCGCUUGGAUGCUGGUGUUGCUUAUCUGCAAAUCGCUGGCAUUCUUUGCACUUCAAAACAAAUUUCUUGGCAUCCUCCUUCAUUCUUGGCCAGAAGUAUCCUUGAGAAAUUGCUUUAUGGGCUAAGGUACGCCCCCCGGAAUGGUUUCCACAUUCACCUUCAUGGAUUUCUUGAAAUAUCAUCUCGCCUUGUUUGGGGAUCAGACAUCGUAAUAACAAUCCAGUUGCAGACUUUCUGAAAAGUUUACCUUCAUGGAUUUUGUACAUUGUGACUUUAUGGAGCAAUUGACUAGCUUCCUUCUUGUUAGAUGGUAGGACACCAGUUUGAAGGUAAACCAUGAAAGGUUCCAUCCAAGUCCCUUGGAUGUCUUCUGGAGUUGUCUGUAGUAGGUCGGAGAUUUGAUGAACAUCUUCUUCCUUGAAUAGAUAUGCGGGCUGUGCACUGAUUGCUAUAGUGAGAGCCCGCGGCUUGUCUGACUCGAUCUUAGAUGCUAGGAAUGCUAAUGAAUCUGCGUGUCUGUUGUCAUCUCUAGGUAUGUGCUCGAUUGUGAAAUAGCUGAGCUUGCUGAUGAGUUCCUUUGCUUUGUUAGCAUACCUGAUUAGGUUGACCCCAUUGAUCUGGUAGUUGUUAGUGAUCUGAUUGACUACUAGUUGGGAGUCGCUGUACGCCUUGAGAUGAACUGCUUGUAGCUCGACGGCCAUCUGUAGGCCCUGGAUGAGUGCUUCAUACUCGGCCUUGUUGUUGGAGGUUGAGAAGUCUAGACGAGCUGAUCUCUCGAGCUGUGAACCUUCAGGAGAGAUUAACACAGCACCUAUACCACUUCCAUUGGAAUUGUGGGAGCCGUCUACAUACAGCUGCCAUGUGUCUGGAGGAUUGUCUUGGAUUUGCCUUGUUUCAGGUUCUGGUUCCCAAUUGACAUCCUCUGCUGGAUAGUCUACUAAGAAGUCUGCGACGACCUGGCCCUUGACGGCCUGCCGUGACACGAACUCAAAUGUGUAAUCACCCAGUUCUGCUGCCCAUCGAGCCAUACGACCUGUUUUGUUUUUCUUUUCUAGAAUGUGGCGUAAUGGCUGAUCGGUGAUUACUUUUAUAGUGUGGGCUUGGAAAUAAGGUUUGAACUUGCAUGCAGCGUAAAGUAAAGCCAAUGCUAACUUCUCUAGAGGUGUGUACCUUAUUUCGGCCUGCUGUAAGACUUUGCUUGUGAAAUAGAUAGGUCGCUCGACCUGGUUCUCUUCUUUAAAGAGUACUGCGCUGAUCGCGAAAUCUGAUGUUGCAAGGUAAACGCCGAGUACAUCUCCAUCGUUGGGUCUUGUGAGAACUGGUGGAGUAGACAGAUAUGCCUUGAGAUCAUUGAAGGCCUUCUCGCAUUCCUCUGUCCACUCAUAUGUAGCCCCCUUCUUUAAGAUAUGAAGCAUUGGUCUGCACUUAUCUGAUGCUCUUGAGAUGAACCUGUUCAGAGCUGAUACCAUGCCGUUGAGUUUUUGGAUUUGUUUCUUUGUUUUUGGGCUUGGCAUGUCGAUCAGGGCUCUGAUCUAGUCGGGAUUUGCUUCAAUGCCUCGUCUGGUGACUAGGUAGCCGAGAAAUUUUCCUGAUGCAACCCCGAACAGACACUUUUCUGGAUUAAGACGCAUUCUGUAUUGCCUUAAUCUUUGGAAUGCUUGGUCGAGAUUGUACAAAUGAUCUCGUUCUUUGUCACUCUUUACUAGCAUGUCAUCAAUGUAGACUUCCAUUGUUCGACCUAGGAGGUCGUCGAACAUUCUGGUGACCAGUCUUUGAUAGGUCGCUCCGGCAUUCCUUAACCCGAAUGGCAUAACCUUGUAGCAGAAAAUACCUUGCUCUGUUGUGAAAGAGGUCUUCUCUUGGUCAGGCUCGUACAUUGGGAUCUGGUUAUACCCUGAGUAUGCGUCCAUGAAUGACAGUAGCUCAAAACCGCAUGUCUGAUCGACUAGCCUAUCGAUUCGUGGCAGUGGGAAUGAAUCUUUAGGACAAGCUUUGUUCAAACUUGUGAAGUCGAUGCAGACUCUUGUUUUCCCAUUCUUCUUUAAGACUGGGACUAUGUUGGCUAGCCAGUCUGGAGUAUCGACUUCUCUGAUGAAGCCGACCUGUUUGAGUCUAUUGAUCUCUUCAUUGACAGCUUCAUGGAAUUUGGGAGCAAGUCUCCUUGGUUUCUGCUUGACAGGUCGAUAAUUGGGAUUGACCCGUAGCUUAUGGCAUGCAAUUGAUGGAUCUAUUCCGGGCAUAUCGAUAUACGACCAAGCAAAAACAUCUUUAUUAUUUGAAAGAAAAUUUACAAAGUUGACGAACUUAUCUUCUUCCAAUUCUGAACCUACAUAGACAUAUCUUGGGUCCUCAUCUGACCCAAUGUUUACACGCACGCCUGGAUCGGUGCUUCCGAGACUAAGCUUGGGGGAGCUCGCUUGCUCCUUCUGUAAUUGCUAUUUAGCAGGUUCAGCCUUUUCCUUGGAUGGGCUCUUUGACUUGUUGUUGCCCUCCUGAGCCUCUGAUGUGAUCGGGCUCUUUCCUUUGUUGUCAGCAUCCUUGGUUCCAGAGGUGGAUGGCUUUGAAGGUGGCACAGCUUCGAUAAUGCCGUGGCAUUCCUGUGCGACGUUCUGGUUUCCACGAAGCUCCAUUAUCCCAUGUGGGCCAGGAUAGCGGAAUACUUGGUGGUAAGUUGAUGGCACACCUCUCAUAGCAUGGAUCCACUUUCGACCCAGAAUCGCAUUGUACUUGCUUGCGAUGUUUAGAAUGUUGAACUUGGAUGUGACAACGACCUUGUCUUCUCUUCUGCCCACAGUGACGGGCAACAAAAUUUCUCCCUUAGGAUCUUCUCUAGAACUGUUGAAGCCUAAGAUCGGUGUGAAGUCUGGGAUGAGAACUGAAUCGGGCAACCUCAUGUCCUUGAAGGUUCUGUACAUGAGAAUGUUACAUGAUGCUCCAGGGUCAAUGAAUACCCUCUUGAUAGUAUAAUCUGCAAUCCGCAGCUCAACGACAAGGGCGUCAUUGUGAGGAGUAACGACCUUGUUGAGAUCGUCCUCAGUAAAAGUGAUAUCGGACUCUUGGCGGGCAGGGAUGUUAAAACGAGCUGCUCGGCCCGUAAUGGAGUAGACAUGAUGGAGAUGCUCUACUCGUCUCUUCUUAUCUCGUGAGACUGGGGUGUGGUGGGAUUCAUCGAUCAUGUAGACUACAUGACUGUCUGAUUCGCUAUCACUGUCAAUCUUUUGUGCGACCUUCUUGUUGAUCUGGUCGCGUAGGUCUCCUGUUGGACCUAAACGCUGGGAGAGGCUACGCCCUCUGCUGCGUGCUGGACUUACUGAGGCCGUUCUGGCCUUGCUGUGAUUUCGUUUUGUGGAACGGGGAGGCGUUCUGGACUCCUUCCUCACCCGCUUGCCUGUGGAUUCCUCAUUCCUUCCGAGGAUCCAAUUGUUGAGCCUUUUCUCAUCGGCCCAUGUUUGCAGUGCGCGUUUCAGAACGCGACAGUCAUCAGUCUGAUGACACCGUACUUUAUGGACUUUGCAGUACGGGCGACCGGAUGUAUCCUCCAACUGUGUGAAGGCAGGAAUCUUGCACCAAUGGUUGUGCUUGAUCCUCUCAUAGAUAUAACCGGCUGGUCGCGUAAACCGGUGAUACUCUCGCUGCUCGGUAGGCAGCGACUUAGCUUUGAACCUCUUUCCGUCUGAUCGAGGUCGCUUGGUUGAGCCAGACUCAAUGUUGCUGACUACGUGGUUCUUCUCCCUCCCAGUGAAGGCUUCUUCAAGCUUUAUAUAACGAUCUACCUUCAGGUAGAGCUCAUCAAGUGAUGAAGGUCUCUUCAUUGCUAGAGACUUGUGGAGGUCGGAUCCUUGGAUAAGACCGUGAGAGAAAGCAAUAGUUGCAAAGGCCUCAUGCUCCUUUGCGAAAUCCUGAAUGGAAUGCAAUUCGGAUUUAAAUCGAGCAAAAAAUGUGCUAAGAGACUCACCAUCUUGCUGCUUGACUUUGAAUAUGGAAUCUAUGGUGACAGGGCGCUUCUUGUUAUGGAUGUAAAAGAUGACAAACUGUUUCUCGAGCUCUGCAAACGAGCUGAUGGAUCCUGGCUUCAAUCGAUGAAACCAGUCUAGAGCUGGUCCGAUGAGGCUGGACUGGAACAGCAAACACAAAAGAUGAUCUUCCUUGAUCAGUGGGAGAGACUUCCGGAAUCCCUUGACGUGGUCGGUUGGAUCUCCGACUCCUGCAUACUGGUCAAACUUGGGGGCAUUCAGCUUGUUAGGCAAAUCGUGUUCCAGGAUCUCCUUAGAGAAAGGAGACUCCUGGAACUGCUGGAGUGACUGGACAGCAAGUUGCUCUGCAGUGUGACUCUUGGAACGGUGGAGAAGGGCCUGUGAUGCUUUGAACUCCGCCAGUUGUUGACUGAGUUGCUCGAAUUUCUGAUUGGAAUCGUCAGUAGGAACGACUCUAUGUCCGCUAUUUUCACCUUGCUGGGGGUUGGUUUGUGCAGCUUUGAGGCGUGCAUUUUCUUCCUGCAAAGCAGUGAUUUGAGCAUGCAGAUCAUUGAUAGUUAAUUCUGUGGUUGUCAUUUGAAUAGAUGACUUUUGAUUUUGGGUGGGAGGGUUUGGGUUUUCGAUUAUAUCGAAUUCCUUGCAGUCGGCGCCAAAUGUAUUAACCUAUUUCUAGAUUAAUGCAUCAACAGGGUCAGGUCGUUAUGGAGACUUGGCCAAAUGGGGGUGUUUGAGAUCGGGGUGGCUGCACCUCGUUGAGAUCGAGAUUGCCUACGUACUCUAGCUCGGGGGAAUUAAACUUAGAGAUCAAGCCAUCGUAGUUCUGUUUAUAUAGAAGAUUGAAGGGCGUGGAUCGUGGAUCUUGCAGAUUCUCCGCCAUUAUAAUGAGGAUUGAUUGUGUAACGCGCGUGGAUCAUCCCUGUGAAUUAAUUAUGUAACUGAUGAGAAUAUUCUGUGCAUUGAAUGAGAGCACGUGUGUAAGCAGGUCGCUGCUCGUUAUGAGGUCGAUCUGUUGUGGUCGAACUAUUAGCAGGUAGAGAGCGUGACGACCUGAUGGAUGAAUGACUGUGCCACGUGGCUGCUUUUGAUUGGUUGAAGUAUGUAGUACCCCUACAACGAUCGUUUUGAUAUAUCGUACACCCCAAACGGAGUUACGGUUCUAAAGAUAUGCACGUUUGAUCUUGAUAAUGAUAUUGCAGCUAUCCACAAGCUGCUGCUAGUACGUGUUUUCUAGUCUGUUGCCUUAGCUGCUUGUUUGGGCAUCAUGUACUACACGUCGAGGCGAUCGUUUUGAUAUAUCAUAUGCCCAAAACGGAGUUACGUUCCCAAUAUAUGACGUUUGAUCUUGAUGAUGGCAUUAUCGCUGCUGCCUUGGUUGCUGGCACGCCUGAUGCCCUAUCCGUUGGCACCGUUGCUGCCUGUCCGCUGCUCAUGCUGCUGCCUUGCCCGCUGGCAAUGCUGUUGCUCUAGCCGCUGGCACGCCUGCAUACUUAGCCGCUGGCACUGUUGUUGCCCAUCCGCUGGCACUGCUGCUGCCUUAGCUGUUGGCAUAGUUACCGCCCAAUCCUCUGGCAUGACUGCUGUUGCCCAUCCGCUGGCACUGCUGUUGUCUUGGCUGCUAGCACGACUGCUGCCUUGGCUAAAGGUUUCAAACUUCGUCCAUAUUGGAAACAUCAUACGAAAAUAUGUGUAUCUCUCUACUCAAAGCUCGGAUUUUUGCAUCGUUUUUUGUGUUCGAAAGACGACAAAAAUAUCUUUCUAACAAAACAUAGAUUGACUUCUCUACUAUUCCAAUGAUGUUUAAUUUUUCAUUUCUUCUCGAGGCUUGAUAAUUUGUGAGAUUAUGAUACAUACUAAAAAAGAUGACAUCUUCUUACUUAAAGAUGUGUAUGGAAUUGUCCUACUUACUUCCAAAUUCUUCAACUCGAAAGAAAGUCAUGAUCUUGAUACCUCAAAUACAAGAGCCACUCAAUGCGCUCAUACUCUUGAGGUAUUAAUCAUGUUGGGAUAGAAAUACAAAUAGUCUAUCAUUUCACAAAAUCAAUUUGUGACAAGUUCUCCAUUUUCGGAAGCCCGACGUUACUUAUCCACACUUGGGGUUGUGAGGAUGAGCAAAAGAAUUGUCUUACCUUCCAUAUAAACUAUUAUCUACGAAUGGAUGAUAUUAAGGAGACUCGUGACAUCCAAAUUGCUUACAUAUUUCACUGGUCGUACUUAAGACAAUAAGGAUUGUCGUUCUCUACAUGUCAAAGUCCAACUCUUCUUUGAUAAUGGUUUAUUGGAUAUGCAUUAACUCGCUUAUAUUCAAGAAAUUAUAGAUAUCACCACUCGUUCAGUUUACAUCAAAUGGCUAUAUAUCGAACACUCAAGAUCAAUUCAACGAAGAUGGAUACAUACUCUCCCUAUCACUAUUGGGGGCUUGAUUCUCGACCACCAUUAGCAUCGGUCAUCAUUCUGGAUUACUCUAAUGAAGCCAUAUAUGCAGCUAUUCAACCUGCCUCACAAUUGGGGGGAUAAGGAGUUCGAUUCUCACUCUAUCCAUUUCAUGAUAGUAUUCUCAUUGCACAUAUACUAUGCAUACACAUUCAUCAUAUCUCUACAUCUACUACAUUUACAUUCAUAUAUACAUAUACAUACAUUUACACAUACAUACAUUUAUACAUAUACAAUCUCAAAUCGACUCGCAGAGUUCCAAUUCUAUCCUUUCUCUUUUUCUUUCUUUUCUUCUACUGGACCAGAUCCCCAGUUCUUCCUUCUAAACCCUAAUUCUCAAAAUUCAACUGUAAUUCAAUACAAUUUCAUUAAUCAAGAACUAAGUUUUUGACAACGUUGUUGCAAAACGUGAAUCAGUAUGCUAAUGAAAAAGACUACAAAAAAGACUAAUAUUUAUUUGAUGGAAACAUCCCAGUAUGCUCUAGUAUAAUUUUCUCUAUCCUCAAUCAUCUUCACCACACUAUCAAUACUUGGGCGCUCAUCUGGUAAAGAAGAAACACAAGAUAUAGCAAUCUGCAGCAACAUUACCAUCUCUUCAUCUUCUAUACCACUAUUGUACCUCAUCAACUCCAAAUCAAACACUUCAGCUGUCCAUUCUUCCCUAACCACUGACUGAACCCAUCUAGGAAGGUCCACAUUUUCAGACACACCAUUUUCAGAGCUCAUUAAUGGCUUUCUCCCUGUCAACAUCUCCAGUAGUAAAACACCAAAUGCAUAUAUAUCUGCCUUUUGAUGAGAAAAAUGUGUCCCCUCUAUCAAUGUUUCAGGUGCACGGUAUCCGUUGGAUCUUGACAUUAUGGGCACAGUUACAAACGCAGAGAGGUCAAAAUCUAUAAGCCGAGGGUUACCAGUUGGAUCAAUAAGAACGUUGGUAGACUUUAUGUUGCCAUGUGAAAGUCUAGGUCCCUGUAAAGAGUAGUGGUGAAUGUAGUUUAGUCCAUGAGCCACUCCCGCUGCAAUCUUCAACCUGGUAGUCCAGUCAACAUGGGCAGAUCUGACACCAGGUUCACCAUGAAGAAGGGAAUACAAACUUCCGUUAGACAUGUAUUCAUAAAUCAGCAUCUUGUCACCUUUAGAAAAAUAAUAAGCUUUUAAACUAACAACAUUAUUGUGUUGUAACUUCCCCAACACCUCCAGAUAUUUCUCAAACACCUCUUGCUUUUCACCAUCUUGUAUUAUUUUUACCCUAUUAACGCAAACAACUACACCAUUUUCUAAAACUGCUUUAUACUUUGUUCCAAAAUCACCUCUCCCCAGCACUUCAGCUGAAGCUCUCAACAAAUCUUCCAAAUCAAACUGUCUGAUUCCUUCAAAGAAAACCAGUUCGUUCUUGAAACCAGCUUGAUGAGAUUUGUUCGGACUUAACGAGGAGACAAUUUUCUCCGUUUCGGCGAACUGUGAACCUUUUUUAUUUCCAAAUUUCCCCAACUUUUUUGAGAUAUAGCUUAAGAGACCACCAGUCUUGACAGGUAAGCUGAAAGCAGAAGGGUUAGUUUCAUCAAUCCUGCAUGAUUAAAAAGCUUAAAUUAAGUUUUAUUAGUUCUUACGUGAUACUAAUUUCAUAAAGUCUGAAAUCUGAACACUGGGAUCUAUAAAAGUGAAGAUGCAAUUUUUUCUCUUAAACAAUCAACAACAUAGUUUAUUAUGAAAUAUUCUUAGUUGUGAAAUACAGCUAGCAAUCAUACCUUUCAUCCAUGGUAGGCAAGACUUCUGAAGUCUCUGGAAUCGCCUCUAUUGUUGGUGGUAGCACUGAAGAUUCCAAGGACUGCCCAAACUGAAAUGGAUAGGGAGGCGUCCCAACUGGUAUCUUUUUCUGAAGCAUUAACACCACAUCGCUCAUGGAUGGUCUUAUUUCAGGUGUAUACUGUGCACACCAUAAUGCAACCGUAGAUAAUAUCUUUGCUUUUUCGCUAUCCUUCUCCGAAAUGCCACAAUCCUUCAUAAUUUUAUCUAGUUGUCCAUUCUUAUAGUUCUCCCAUACUUGUUGUGGAAACCAAUUUUCUCCUUCCCCAUUGCGUCGCCUCCCUAAAACUUCAAACAGCAUCAUGCCAAAGCUGUAAACAUCACAUUUAUAAGUUACUUGUGAAGAUGGCAUCCAAGUUUCUGGUGCAUUAUAACCUACUGUCCCUCUAAUUCUACUUAAGGAGACACGACUUACAUCCCUUUUCAUAAGCUUUGCCAAUCCAAAAUCUGUAAUUUUAGGAGAAAGAUUUUUAUCAAGAAGCACAUUACCCGCCUUUAUGUCAUAGUGUAUAAUUCUCUCGUCCCAACCUUCAUGCAAAUAAUCGAUCCCCUUUGCUAUCUCAAUAGCAAUACCAUACAACCUUUCCCAUUCUAUACUACUGCCAUGGUUAUCAUACAAAAUCUUAUCUAGAGAUCCAUUUUCCAUAUAUUCAUACACAAGUGCUUUCAUGUCGCGUUCAAAGCAAUACCCAAAUAGUUUCACUAAGUUACGAUGGUAAGCUUUGCCCAUUGUUCUGACUUCAGCCAUGAAGGUCUCUUCCACGACAUCCAUCUUUGCUAGUACCUUGACAGCUAUAUGCAAACCCCCAGGAAACUGACCCUUGUAAACUUCUCCAUACCCACCAAAGCCAAUAGGUAUAGAAAAUUUAAAGGUAAACUUUUCAAGAUCCCCAUAAGAAUAUGGCUUUGGUCCCAGUUCACUUAAGAACUUUUCAACUUCUGAGUUAGCAUCUUCAAGUACAACAGAAUUCGUCAUAGUACAUCCCAAGUAGAAGAUGGAAGACAAAAGUGGCAAUUACAACUUAACUCCUCCUGUGAUAAGAACAGUUUAUGAGAAAUCGCUCCGUGUUCAAUAAACUGAAAUCAUUAAUGUCCUCUAUAUGAAAUUAUUCUUACUCAGACUAAACAAGAAUUGUCCCAAAGCAAUUUGAACAAAUGGUUAUAAUUACAAUAAGUGCAUUUUUAUCAAAACCCCGAAGCAAUUUUGAAACACAAACCCCCCCAUAUAGCUACUAUAUAUACUAGUGUCUAGUAUACUACUAAACAUUUUAUCUUGAAUCAAGAAGGAUAGUCAGGUAGAUAUAUAUAAGAGAUGGAAUGAAGUAAAAUUACCUGUUUAAAUGAUAUUGCAAAGGUGUGGCAAAUCUGUAUUGAAGAAAAAAACCAAAGUCCAAGCAAAACUCCACUAUCAAAAGAGAUAAAAAAGAGUGAGGUAUAGAGAUUGAUUCCCCCAACCCCAAAGUUUUCUUUAGCUUCUCUGUUCUUUCUCUCAAAUUCAUAAAUCAUAGUUAAGCUCGAUCUAACAGAGGAAUGUAAUUGGAGUUUAAUAAUAAUUAAGCUAGUUCGUGGAAAAUGUUCCUAGUUACUUAUUCCAUAUCUAAUGAAAGAAAAAAACAAAGAACAACUCGUUAAUAUACAAUCUCAAUGUCAACAUCAACUUGUGGAGUUUUUCCAUUAAUGAGAUUGUUAAUAGUAAUUGCAGGCUUACGCUAUUUCCUGCUUUGGUUUAAGCAAUGAGUCCAAUGUCUAGUUGUUGUUUAUGUUUCUUAAGCAAAAAGAAAGACAUGAUGAUAUUCAAGUAUACAAAAAUACUGCCUAAAAGACAGAAAAUGUUCUGAUUUCUUCAAUUGGUUAAAACACUUACAGUUUAGCUUAAAGAAAAAAGAAAAAUCAUGCCUUUGGAAUCCCAUAUAACAAAAUCUUUAACUUGCCCUCUUCUUCCAUCUUUCUUACUUCCUGAUCUCCACCAAUAAACCUUCCUUUAACAAACACAGCAGGAACCACUGUUUGAUCUAAUAACUUAACCAAUUCAUCCCUAUAGUCCGAAUUCAAAUGAAUGUUUCGCUCUGACAUCUUCACUUGAUAUGAUUCUAAUAUUUCACAAAUAGCACGACACCCAUGUUCCAUAUAUGCUCUGGCGGUACUUGUGUAAAUAAUAACACAAUUUUCACCUCCAGGAGGGCACUUCUUCUCGAACUUUUUUAGCAUCAAUUCUGAUACUCUUACUUUCAGCACAUCAUCAGUGGACUUUUUGAGCAUCAAUUCUGACUCUCUUGCUUUCAUGAGUUUCAUCAAAUCAUCAUAUUCCUCUCCCACCUGUUCUUCCCCUUCCCACUUUGCUGCAGUCACUUCACUACUCGUUUCCCAAAAAUAUUUUGACGUCGUUUCAAAGUUGUCCUCUGCCAGUUGUUUUCUCUUUUCUUCUUCCUUUACCGGGGAGCGUGACCAGGGUGAUGGUUCAAAAAGGUUUCCAUUUAUUUUAUUCGCUGCCGGUUGUUUUCUCUUUUCUUCUUCCUUUACUGGGGAGCGUGACCAGGGUGAUGGUUCAAAAAGGUUUCCAUUUAUUUUAUUCGCCGGGAAAUCAUAAGUCAGUUCACUACUAUUUCCGGUCUUAAAUUUCGGCAGCAUCACUCCAUAUUCCGAAAUAGAUUUCAUCGUGGUUCCAUAGUCGUUCUCUGCCUGUUGUUUUCUCUUUUCUUCAUCCUUUACAGGGGCUGAGGCAGGAAUGGCUGUCACACUGCAAAUAAAAGGAUUAACUUUUUCACUCUUUCAUUCUGUUUCUUGCUUGUUUCAUGCCAGAAAAUUUUAAAUGGGUGAUAUGAAUUUAAGUGUUUUCUCUUCAGAAGUAAUUACGGAACAAUGAUGAAAAUCUCUAUUGUCAAAGAAAAAUGAUUCUAAAUUUCUAUAGUAAGACCUUUUAAGAAACAAAGUAUAUAUUUAAAAAAUAAACAUUACAAUUUAUUGCAUUUCUUAGUUCAUACUGUAUUCAUCCAUAUCUAGAUGCCAAUUCUUUCCUCUUUUUUUAUUCUACAAAAGGAUUAGUCUUGACAUGAAGUUUCAAACAUAAAUUAUUUUCACAUAGAUGCUAAGCUCAAUUGUGCAAUAUCAAAUGGCUCAAUUAGCACGCCAAUGCAUAAUUUAAGAAAAGACCAUAAUGCUGUGGUCAUAGUUUUUUAUCAAUUGUGCAAUAUCAAUUAGGCUUUUUAAAUAAACCUAUGCAACCAAGAAAACAAAUUACAUGGCUAGUGUUUACCUUUCAUCAACUUCUAGAUUAACCUCUGGAAGCACCUCUAGUAAUGAUGGUAGCAUUGAAAAACUGGAGGACUGCCCAAACUGAAAUGGAUAGGGAGGCUUCCUAACAGGUAUUUCAUUCUCAAGCACCAUUACAACCUUGUUCAUUGGAGGUCUUAUUUCGGGAUUAUAUUGAGAGCACCAUAACGCAACCGUAGAUAAUAACUUUGCUUUCCCUCUAUCUUUCUCUGUGAUGCCACAGUCCUUUAUAAGUUGGUCUAGCUGUCCAUUAUUAAACUUUUGCCAAACUUGUUCCGGAAACCAGUUUUCGCAUUCUCCGUUGCUUCUCUUCCCUAAAAUUUCAAAUAACAUCAUGCCAAAGCUAUAAACAUCACAUUUGUAAGUUACGUGUGAUCCCGGCAACCACGUCUCUGGGGCAUUAUAACC
rnacentral:lncRNA from 1 species